UUUGAAUUUUUGAUCUAAAAACAAAACGAUUGCAAGUUGAAAAGAUUUAUUGUGUGAUUUAUUUAUUUAUUACAAGGAGACAAAAUUACAUACACAUUUUAGGCUUCUCAGCAGCUGGUGGUGUGCACAGUCAGCAUAACUACUCAUUUGAGGUACUUAGACUAGUGUCAUAUUCUACACAUCUAAAGUGGAACCAUCACAGAGAUCGCAUAAAAUCAUGUUGUCGUAUUCUUCUGGCAGUUUACAUUCACAUAACAUAUUAUAAAAACAAUCGCUUGCAAAUUUUAUCAAUACGAGUGUUAACAAUAGCCGCCACAGUAAUCACUUGCUAACAAUAAACUAUAGGAUUAGUAAAAAAUCCAUGGAAUGUGUUGGGAAGC